UACGUAGGGUGCGAGCGUUGUCCGGAAUUAUUGGGCGUAAAGAGCUCGUAGGCGGUUUGUUGCGUCGGCCGUGAAAACUUGGGGCUUAACUCCGGCCUGCAGUGGGUACGGGCUGACUAGAGUGCGGUAGGGGGAGACUGGAAUUCCUGGUGUAGCGGUGAAAUGCGCAGAUAUCAGGAGGAACACCGGUGGCGAAGGCGGCCUUCUGGACAGCAACUGACGCUGAGACGCGAAAGCGUGGGGAGCAAACAGG
rnacentral:rRNA from 1 species